GAUGAACGCUAGCGGCAGGCUUAAUACAUGCAAGUCGAACGGUAAGUAGUGUAGCAAUACAUUACCAAGAGUGACGUACGGGUGCGUAACACGUAUGCAACCUACCUUGUACAGGAGUAUAGCUCGGGGAAACUCGAAUUAACCCUCCAUAAGAUCGUGGUGUGGCAUCACACAGCGAUAAAAACUCAGGUGGUACAAGCUGGGCAUGCGUCUGAUUAGAGUUGGCGGGGUAACGCCCACCAAGACGAUGAUCAGUAGGGGAACUGAGAGGUUNAUCCCCCANACUGGCACUGAGAUACGGGCCAGACUCCUACGGGGAGGCAGCAGUAGGGAAUAUCGGUCAAUGGAUGCAAGUCUGAA
rnacentral:rRNA from 1 species